GAGACAAUUCUAAUUAGCCAAUUUGUACGGAACAAUUGGCGGGUCUUAAGAUCGACACACGCGUGAUUCCAGGUUGGGUCGAUGUUCCGUGUAGAGUUAAUUCAAGUUCAUUUAAAUUCUUCGUAUGUACGUUUUUACUAUGUGUGACAGAUCGUCUAUAUGUAUAAAUAUCAACUUGUACAAUCUUCACUCUCCGUAUAAUUUUUUUUCUAUCCAAAUCAAAGUUAUUGGCGAA